rnacentral:rRNA from 1 species
AUUGAACGCUGGCGGCAGGCCUAACACAUGCAAGUCGAACGAGUGGCGGACGGGUGAGUAAUGUCUGGGAAACUGCCUGAUGGAGGGGGAUAACUACUGGAAACGGUAGCUAAUACCGCAUACCCUCGGAUGUGCCCAGAGGGGAUUAGCUAGUAGGUGGGGUAACGGCUUCCCGAGGCGCAGAUCCAUAGCUGGUCUGAGAGGAUGACCAGCCACACUGGAACUGAGACACGGUCCAGACUCCUAAGGGAGGCAGCAGUGGGGAAUAUGGCACAAGGGGCGCAAGCCGGAUGCAGCCAUGCCGCGUGUAUGAAGAAGGCCUUCGGUUUGUAAAGUACUUUCAGCGGGGAGGCGUUACCCGCAGAAGAAGCACCGGCUAACUCCGUGCCAGCAGCCGCGGUAAUAC